AACGCCGGAGCGUCUCACUUGUCAAAAGCGCCGGUGCAUUUGGAGCGCCGUGGCCGUGGCGCAGGCGUAGACGUGGCUCCCUUUCUUGUCACUUUUUUUUGAGGCAUGAUUUCCUAGGUGGCUUUCCGGUGUCUGCUUUUAGUUGCCUUUUGUUUUUAUUUUUACGGCGGUACCUCGGAACAGACUGUGUCCCUAGAAGGCGAGGCAAUGGGGAAUUCUAUAUUGUGCCGGCCUCUUACAACCUACCAGCUCGUGUGCGCUCCGAGAGGCUUGACCUCUGGUAUGGUUCCAAGAUUAGGAAUCAGUGUGACAGUGCCUAAACCUAAAAGCAUUAGAGGCCAGAAUCACAGUUACCUUUCUGGGACAGAAUGGCAGUUAUAAUGGCGUUAACAUUUGAGCAUUCUCCAUGUGCCAGUACAGUGUUAAAUUGUACACGGAUUGUCUCAGUUAAGCCCGCAAACAGCCUUGUGAGGUUUUGGUCCCCACCAGUCAAGUGAAUGACUCUUCUCAACAUCACCUGAUGACAUUCCAGAAGAGAAGAGUGAAUAGCUAGGAAGAAGGUGAGACCUUUGCUCAGUCCACUUUCUGGGAAACUGUACCUGGGAUACAUUAAACUUACACUCAAGAUGUCAAAAAUCAACUAAGUUAUUAAUUUUUCUUUCAAAUGUGAGUGGAGAGAAAAGGAAGUCCACAUUUUUCAGGACAUU